rnacentral:rRNA from 1 species
AUUGAACGCUGGCGGCAGGCUUAACACAUGCAAGUCGAGCGGUAACAGAGAGAAGCUUGCUUCUCUGCUGACGAGCGGCGGACGGGUGAGUAAUGCCUAGGAAUCUGCCUAGUAGUGGGGGAUCACUUGCCGAAAGGUAAGCUAAUACCGCAUACGUCCUACGGGAGAAAGGAGGGGACCUUCGGGCCUUUCGCUAUUAGAUGAGCCUAGGUCGGAUUAGUUAGUUGGUGAGGUAAUGGCUCACCAAGACCGCGAUCCGUAACUGGUCGGAGAGGAUGAUCAGUCACACUGGAACUGAGACACGGUCCAGACUCCUACGGGAGGCAGCAGUGGGGAAUAUUGGACAAUGGGGGGAACCCUGAUCCAGCCAUGCCGCGUGUGUGAAGAAGGUCUUAGGAUUGUAAAGCACUUUAAGUUGGGAGGAAGAGCAGUUAACUAAUAUUUGACUGUUUUGACGUUACCGACAGAAUAAGCACCGGCUAACUUCGUGCCAGCCGCCGCAGUAA